UAGCAUUAUACGGCGAACUGCGAAUGGGCUCAUUAUAUAAGUUAUCGUUUAUUUGAUAGUACCUUACUACUUGGAUAACCGUGGUAAUUCUAGAGCUAAUACAUGCUUAAAAUCCCGACUUCGGAAGGGAUGUAUUUAUUAGAUUAAAAACCAAUGCCCUUCGGGGCUCUCUGGUGAUUCAUGAUAACUUCUCGAAUCGCAUGGCCUUGCGCCGGCGAUGGUUCAUUCAAAUUUCUUCCCUAUCAACUUUCGAUGUUUGGGUAUUGGCCAAACAUGGUUGCAACGGGUAACGGAGGGUUAGGGCUCGACCCCGGAGAAGGAGCCUGAGAAACGGCUACUACAUCCAAGGAAGGCAGCAGGCGCGCAAAUUACCCAAUCCCGACUCGGGGAGGUAGUGACAAUAAAUACUGAUACAGGGUUCUUUUGGAUCUUGUAAUUGGAAUGAGUACAAUUUAAAUCCCUUAACGAGGAACAAUUGGAGGGCAAGUCUGGUGCCAGCAGCCGCGGUAAUUCCAGCUCCAAUAGCGUAUAUUAAAGUUGUUGUGGUUAAAAAGCUCGUAGUUGAACCUUGGGCCUGGCUGGCCGGUCCGCCUCACCGCGUGUACUGGUCCGGCCGGGCCUUUCCCUCUGUGGAACCCUAUGCCCUUCACUGGGUGUAGCGGGGAAACAGGACUUUUACUU
rnacentral:rRNA from 1 species